UAGGGAAUCUUCCACAAUGGACGAAAGUCUGAUGGAGCAACGCCGCGUGAGUGAUGAAGGGUUUCGGCUCGUAAAACUCUGUUGUUGGAGAAGAACGGGUGUCAGAGUAACUGUUGACAUCGUGACGGUAUCCAACCAGAAAGCCACGGCUAACUACGUGCCAGCAGCCGCGGUAAUACGUAGGUGGCAAGCGUUGUCCGGAUUUAUUGGGCGUAAAGCGAGCGCAGGCGGUUUUCUAGGUCUGAUGUGAAAGCCUUCGGCUUAACCGGAGAAGUGCAUCGGAAACCGGGAGACUUGAGUGCAGAAGAGGACAGUGGAACUCCAUGUGUAGCGGUGAAAUGCGUAGAUAUAUGGAAGAACACCAGUGGCGAAGGCGGCUGUCUGGUCUGCAACUGACGCUGAGGCUCGAAAGCAUGGGUAGCGAACAGGAUUAGAUACCCUGGUAGUCCAUGCCGUAAACGAUGAGUGCUAAGUGUUGG
rnacentral:rRNA from 1 species